CGCAAUGUCUCGGUCGUGGUGUGGUCGUGGGUUCGUUAUGCCAGUUAUGCGUCAUUCUAAGCCGUUUUGUACAUUUAUACUGGAUAUUAAUUGGAGUCAUUUAGCUGUGCUGAUGCUGUUUGCCGUGUGUUUUGCAUCAGUGCUUCGUGACAUCGGCUGUAUUGCGUGUUUUCGCCGACGGCUUACUACCACAAUGGCGGGAUCUGCGUUCGCCGCCUUCGUGUCUCGGUGCGUCUUUGUACGUCGCACGUUCGGAUAACACUUUUUCCGACAGCUGGACAUCCUUCUUGUACCUUGGCGCUAGCUGGAUGAUGGGACAUCAUGAUCAGUGUAUUGCUUGCCUAUGUCUACAAGAACCGUCACGCGUGGCCUGUGACAGCAAGCUUUUGUGGGCAGCAAGUGCUCUCCUACGAAGGCUGGCCUACUCUGGCAGCGGCGGCAAUCAUCUUCAAGAUUUAUCCAUAAUCACCUUUGCUGCUUUUUGUCACUCUUGUUGAUUACACUUUCUGCGUCUUUUCUAAUUUAUUAGGUAAUAAAGUAUGAGUAUGUGA